rnacentral:lncRNA from 1 species
GUAUUAUCAUUCAAUUAUAUGAUUAAUUUUCCGACUUACGCAUUCAUUAAUGUAUAUGCUUUUGUACUUUUAAAUACUAAAUUAUCAUGUUUUGAUACGGCAUACCCAUGCUUAAUCCACUGGGAGAUUAUCUUGCUUGUAAAUGGGUCGGGUUAUCGGGUCUCAUCUAGCGCACCCGGUAAAGACCAAAGGGGUCAAAGAGGGAUGGAGGGGUUCUUUCAUUCA